rnacentral:rRNA from 1 species
UACGUAGGUGGCAAGCGUUGUCCGGAGUUAUUGGGCGUAAAGCGCGCGCAGGCGGUGAGGUAAGUCUCUGGUGAAAGCGCUCGGCUUAACUGGGCGAGGGCCGGGGAGACUGCCACGCUGGAGGGGAGCAGAGGCGAGUGGAAUUCCGGGUGUAGUGGUGAAAUGCGUAGAGAUCCGGAGGAACACCGAUGGCGAAGGCAGGUCUCUGGGCCACUACUGACGCUGAGAAGCGAAAGCAUGGGGAGCGAACAGG